AACGCCGCGUGGAGGAAGAAGGCCUUCGGGUCGUAAACUCCUGUCAGGUGGGACGAAAACGCGGGGCUCAACAGGCCCUGCGGUUGACGGUACCGCCAGAGGAAGCCCCGGCUAACUCCGUGCCAGCCACCGCGGUGACUGAGCGGGCUGGCAAGGCGCAUA
rnacentral:rRNA from 1 species